rnacentral:lncRNA from 1 species
AACUUUACUCUAACCCUGAAAAAUUAUAGUCCCACAAUUGCCCCUAAUAUCCAUCUGAGAGGCAACUUGUUCCCCUUGAGGAUGGAUUGUUAUCCAAAGACCAUGGCUUUCGGAGUAAGUUGGAAUUAGUACCGUUUAGUCUUCAGUCUUUCAGAGAAAAUCCAAGCUUAUUUGCUCCAAAAGGUGUAGUCUUUGGAUAAUAAUUCACCCUCAAUGGGAAUAGGUUGCCUCUUAGAUAGAUAGUUAGGGGAAAUUGUGGGACCAUGAUUUUCUAAGGUAAGAGUAAGACUGAUCUAAAUACAGUUACCUUAAAAGUCAUGUCAUGGACUCACCAGCUCAAGUGGAGCUGUAUCAGACGGAGUAGCGGUGUCACCAUCACUCUACUCCGGGGCACUAGGUGGAGUCCUAGUGACCCCGCUUGAUGACCAUGCUUGUUCUGCAAGACAUGCGAUCUGAUCCAAAUAUGGACACAAUCAGAUCCUAUAAGUCUUGGAGUUCAUACAAUCUAAGAAUUAGCUUGCGCCGCAAGUAAUUACAACUCAUCAAUGUAAAUUAAUAUUUCAUUGGUAUCAAUACAUUGUUUAUAUUUCAUUGAUGUGUUAUUGAUUUACAGUCGACUACAGGAUUGGAACAAUACAUUGUAGAAAUGAGAAUUCCAAAGCAAUGAAUGAAUUUAUCAUGUCCACGUACACAGUGAACCUCAAAGGAGUAAUAAUGAAGUUGAAUUAAUUCCUAGUUGGAUUGUUAGUAUGAGAAAUGAUAAGAAAACUCUCUCAAAAGUGAUACUCUUCAUAAAUUCUUUGUCACCUCAUGUUUUUUGAACAAUGUUUUAUAAUUUAGCGUAAGAAUUGACGUUAAACUAUGAGGUGAUAUAGUGUCUAUAGAGAGUCUCACUUUAAGAUAGUCUCCUUAACAUUUCUCUUGUCAGUGUAUUUUAAUGUCUUUCAAAUAUUGCAUCAAACUACAAGUUUUCAAAAGUUUACCUCAAACAUUUUACUUACUGAAACGUUUUAUAAAACGCUUCAUCUAUCUGUGGUACUUAUCUCAAGGCCAAUUUUGUCAAAAAAAUAAUAAUAAUAAUAAAGGCUAAUACUAAAUAUAUUUGAGGACUGAUCAACCAUUCCAUUGUCUUCCCACUUUUUAAUUAAAAAAAA